rnacentral:rRNA from 1 species
CGGCACGGGUGAGUAACACGUAUCCAACCUGCCGUCUACUCUUGGACAGCCUUCUGAAAGGAAGAUUAAUACAAGAUGGCAUCAUGAGUCCGCAUGUUCACAUGAUUAAAGGUGUUCCGGUAGACGAUGGGGAUGCGUUCCAUUAGAUAGUAGGCGGGGUAACGGCCCACCUAGUCUUCGAUGGAUAGGGGUUCUGAGAGGAGGGUCCCCCACAUUGGAACUGAGACACGGUCCAA